GGGUGAGGUUCAGUCUGGAUACUGUAGGGGCCAUGGCCCGGAACGGGUCGAACCUGUC
rfam:Synechococcus sp. RS9917 scf_1099465004208 genomic scaffold, whole genome shotgun sequence.